AUUGAACGCUGGCGGCAGGCCUAACACAUGCAAGUCGAGCGGAUGAAGGGAGCUUGCUCCUGGAUUCAGCGGCGGACGGGUGAGUAAUGCCUAGGAAUCUGCCUGGUAGUGGGGGAUAACGUCCGGAAACGGGCGCUAAUACCGCAUACGUCCUGAGGGAGAAAGUGGGGGAUCUUCGGACCUCACGCUAUCAGAUGAGCCUAGGUCGGAUUAGCUAGUUGGUGGGGUAAAGGCCUACCAAGGCGACGAUCCGUAACUGGUCUGAGAGGAUGAUCAGUCACACGGGAACUGAGACACGGUCCAGACUCCUACGGGAGGCAGCAGUAGGGAAUAUUGGACAAUGGGCGAAAGCCUGAUCCAGCCAUGCCGCGUGUGUGAAGAAGGUCUUCGGAUUGUAAAACACUUUAAGUUGGGAGGAAGGGCAGUAAGUUAAUACCUUGCUGUUUUGACGUUACCAACAGAAUAAGCACCGGCUAACUUCGUG
rnacentral:rRNA from 1 species